rnacentral:rRNA from 1 species
UACGGAGGAUGCGAGCGUUAUCCGGAUUUAUUGGGUUUAAAGGGUGCGUAGGCGGGAUGCCAAGUCAGCGGUAAAAAUGCGGUGCUCAACGCCGUCGAGCCGUUGAAACUGGCGUUCUUGAGUGGGCGAGAAGUAUGCGGAAUGCGUGGUGUAGCGGUGAAAUGCAUAGAUAUCGCGCAGAACUCCGAUUGCGAAGGCAGCGUACCGGCGCCACACUGACGCUGAGGCACGAAAGCGUGGGGAUCGAACAGG